AUUGGACUAACUCAAAAGAAACCCAGUGGAGUCGGCGACUCAGCAGGUGGAGUCGGCGACUGGCCUUAGGUUUUCUUGACUUCCGAGCUGAGCAGAGGCUCGAGAAAAAACCAAGUGGAGUCGGUGAUUCACUAUGGGAGUCGGCGAUUCACAAAGGUGGAAUCGGCGACAGACACUAGUGGAAUCGGUGACUGCUUUAGGUAGUUUUUCCUUCGAGUCUGGCCGUGGACAGCACUCUUAGCUAGCAGAAUAACCCGC
rnacentral:lncRNA from 1 species